UAAGUGGACUGGUGCCUUCACUGGACUUUACCUCAGCUAUAUCCGGAAAGUGUUUAUGACCCGAAUAGUCAUUGGGUAAAUAAUUAGUUUUAUACAUCUAAAUAAGGGUUUGGAUGAAGAUGAUGGUGAAAAGAUAAUAUUUUGUCCUUGGUUAUUGAAAAUUUGUCCUACACUCAAUACAAAAAAUUGAGGGUUGCUGUGAAGGGCCAUGGAGGAGGUUGUGUAUUGCCUGCAUUUUGGAAUAAAUGCAGAGGACAUGAUGAAGAGAAACAAGAAACAGCAAGUUGGCGGCAAGGAUGGCAAAGUUCAAAUCUAAACCUCACUCACUCUUCAACCGUUAAGCCACUAUAAAUAUACAUGAACACAAAGAAGAAGCACAUAUCCACAGGUGUUGAAAUUGGUGGUUAGUUUAUAUGAGGUGGUUGCUGGUGUAUUAUAAAGCACCAUGUUGAUGAAAAUGGCCGUUAAGGAAUGAGAUAUCUAAGGCAAAGACCUCAACGUUACAAGCAUGGAUCAUAUUUUUUAUUGGCAAGUUGUUGUGUGCAGAGAAGUCAUUGAAGUUACAGGUGCUAAAAAAUGACCAAAUGCUGUUGCGCAAAAUAUGGCUGAGACAAGUAUUUCUCAAGAGGUUCAAGGGUUAAAUGAUGUUCCUUCAAAUGAUCAACCUCAUAAGAGUGGCAAGGAAGCUGCAAAGCAACAUGUCGGGGUUCGAGAUUCUGCAAUUGAAGUUCCAGCCAUAGGUGGGCUCCAAAUGUCUGUGGAAGAUUCUGGGAAAGCUAACAAUGCAGCAGCUCAUGCUGAACAUGGUAUUUUACCUACGGAGACACAAUUUUGUAUGAAGGGGCUCACAUGGAGAGAGGACAUAAGGCAAAGAUGGACAUUGAAGUACUCAGUUGGAAAGAUGAGAUACCAUCCAUACAAGAGGACAAGCAAAAGGUGGACCUUGCAAAUGUGGUUCAAGUAUAAAGAGCAUGUACACGUAGAUGUCGAAGAACACGAAAUAGAAGCAACAUGUCUUUCAAGUAUAGAAGAGCAGUGUUCUUUUUAUUAGUUUUUGAGUUUGAUCUGUCUUGAAUGAAGUAAAUGUGUGAAGAAAAUUUAUCUGCUUGAGGGUGUCAUUUGGUUGGCCUUUAAUCCAGGUAUAUGGUUCAUAAUAGGUGGGUUUAAUUGAUAUUCUCUUGCUUGGUAAGACUGCCAAGGGUGACACAACUUAUGUUAUGGAGCAACAUCACGAGUCUAAGUGUGAAAUCAUGUCACUUAAGAUAAUGACUUCUUAUUUACAUUUCUAAACUGCUUUGUUACAUUAAAGAUGGAAUAUAAAUUAGUUUAUUAGUA